UAAGCGGAGGAAAAGAAACCAACAGGGAUUGCCCCAGUAACGGCGAGUGAAGCGGCAAGAGCUCAAAUUUGAAAGCUGGCUCCUUCGGGGUCCGCAUUGUAAUUUGUAGAGGAUGCUUCGGGAGCGGUCCCCAUCUAAGUGCCCUGGAACGGGACGUCAUAGAGGGUGAGAAUCCCGUAUGGGAUGGGGUGUCCGCGCCCGUGUGAAGCUCCUUCGACGAGUCGAGUUGUUUGGGAAUGCAGCUCUAAAUGGGUGGUAAAUUUCAUCUAAAGCUAAAUAUUGGCCGGAGACCGAUAGCGCACAAGUAGAGUGAUCGAAAGAUGAAAAGCACUUUGAAAAGAGAGUUAAAAAGCACGUGAAAUUGUUGAAAGGGAAGCGCUUGCGACCAGACUCGCUCGCGGGGUUCAGCCGGCAUUCGUGCCGGUGUACUUCCCCGCGGGCGGGCCAGCGUCGGUUUGGGCGGUCGGUCAAAGGCCCUCGGAAGGUAACGCCCCUAGGGGCGUCUUAUAGCCGAGGGUGCAAUGCGACCUGCCUAGACCGAGGAACGCGCUUCGGCUCGGACGCUGGCAUAAUGGUCGUAAACGACCCGUCUUGAAA
rnacentral:rRNA from 1 species